rfam:Myotis lucifugus cont2.47014, whole genome shotgun sequence.
AGGCCUUCAGAGAGAGAGGCAGGCUCUGAUCCACAGCCUUCGUGGCAGCUGUUGAUCAGCUGUUGCCUCGCUCUUUCUCUCCC